AUUGCUGCCCUCAAGCACGGCUUGUGUGUUGGGCUCCGUCCCCCCGGGGACGGGCCCGAAAGGCAGCGGCGGCACCGAGUCCGGUCCUCGAGCGUAUGGGGCUUUGUCACCCGCUCUGUAGGCCCGGCCGGCGCCAGCCGACAACCCAUCAUCCUUUUCAGGUUGACCUCGGAUCAGGUAGGGAUACCCGCUGAACUUAA
rnacentral:misc_RNA from 1 species